AUACGUAGGUGGCAAGCGUUGUCCGGAAUUAUUGGGCGUAAAGCGCGCGCAGGCGGUCCUUUAAGUCUGAUGUGAAAGCCCACGGCUCAACCGUGGAGGGUCAUUGGAAACUGGGGGACUUGAGUGCAGAAGAGGAAAGUGGAAUUCCAAGUGUAGCGGUGAAAUGCGUAGAGAUUUGGAGGAACACCAGUGGCGAAGGCGACUUUCUGGUCUGUAACUGACGCUGAGGCGCGAAAGCGUGGGGAGCAAACAGGAUUAGAUACCCUGGUAGUCCACGCCGUAAACGAUGAGUGCUAAGUGGUAGGGGGUUUCCGCCCCUUAGUGCUGCAGCUAACGCAUUAAGCACUCCGCCUGGGGAGUACGGUCGCAAGACUGAAACUCAAAUGAAUUGACGGGG
rnacentral:rRNA from 1 species